rnacentral:rRNA from 1 species
CCUACGUGGUGCAGCAGUGAGGAAUAUUGGUCAAUGGGCGCGAGCCUGAACCAGCCAAGUAGCGUGAAGGAUGACUGCACUACGGGCUGUAAACUUCUUUUAUAAAGGAAUAAAGUGAGGCACGUGUGCCUUUUUGUAUUUACUUUAUGAAUAAAGAUCGGCUAACUCCGUGCCAUCAGCCGCGGUAAUACGGAGGAUGCGAGCGUUAUGCGGAUUUAUUGGGUUUAACGGGAGCGUAGAUGGGUUGUUAAGUCAGUUGUGAAAGUUUGCGGCUCAACCGUAAAAUUGCAAUUGAUACUGGCAGUCUUGAGUACAGUUGAGGUAGGCGGAAUUCGUGGUGUAGCGGUGAAAUGCUUAGAUAUCACGAAGAACUCCGAUUGCGAAGGCAGCUUACUAAACUGCCACUGACAUUGAUGCUCGAAAGUGUGGGUAUCAAACAGGAUUAGAUACCCCGGUAGUC